AGGACGAACGCUGGCGGCGUGCUUAACACAUGCAAGUCGAACGAGGUCCAUUCAGUGGAAACACUGGAGAAGACCGAGUGGCGAACGGGUGAGUAACACGUGAGCAACCUGCCCCGAAGACUGGGAUAACAGCGGGAAACCGCUGCUAAUACUGGAUGCCCCCACCGGGCCGCAUGACCUGGUGAGGAAAUGGAUUCCGCUUCGGGAGGGACUCGCGGCCUAUCAGCUUGUUGGUGGGGUAACGGCCUACCAAGGCAACGACGGGUAGCUGGUCUGAGAGGACGAUCAGCCACACUGGGACUGAGACACGGCCCAGACUCCUACGGGAGGCAGCAGUGGGGAAUCUUGCGCAAUGGGCGAAAGCCUGACGCAGCAACGCCGCGUGAGGGACGAAGGUCUUCGGGUUGUAAACCUCUUUCAGCAGGGACGAUUGUGACGGUACCUGCAGAAGAAGCCCCGGCCAACUACGUGCCAGCAGCCGC
rnacentral:rRNA from 1 species